GGGUUAUAGUGUCACAUAAUUAUUAGGGCGCAUUCGGUUUGCAAUUGAAAUUGAAAUCGAAAAAGAUUGAAAUAGAAAUCAGAAUAAUCAUAACCUUUGAUGCAUUUGACGUAUGACUGGAAUCAGAAUUAGAAUCAGAAUGGGAUUUUAAUACUAGAGGAGAAUAGAGAUUGGAUUUUGGGGGCUUGAGAUAUUCUCAUUCUCCAUAAAAUCCGAAUGAGAAUGGAACACCUAACCAAAUAGCUGAAAUGAAAAUCUCAUUUUAAUUCUCAUUCUCAUUUCAGAGUCCGAAUUCCAAAUGAUUGAUAAGGAGGGGGAG
rnacentral:lncRNA from 1 species